rnacentral:rRNA from 1 species
UACGUAGGGUGCAAGCGUUAAUCGGAAUUACUGGGCGUAAAGCGUGCGCAGGCGGUUAUGCAAGACAGAGGUGAAAUCCCCGGGCUUAACCUGGGAACUGCAUUUGUGACUGGCGGGCUAGAGUAUGGCAGAGGGGGGUAGAAUUCCACGUGUAGCAGUGAAAUGCGUAGAGAUGUGGAGGAACACCGAUGGCGAAGGCAAUCCCCUGGACCUGUACUGACGCUCAUGCACGAAAGCGUGGGGAGCAAACAGG